rnacentral:lncRNA from 1 species
GUUUCCUUCUCAGUGCACCUAGGGUUCCUUUUGUACUACAUGAGGAAAGUUUAUUUUUAAAAGAACCUUUUAAUGUGCUGAAAGAACUUGUUUGUUCUUAAAUGCUCAACUUCUUCCCACGACCUAGAUCCAAAGCUCCCGUGCCAAUCCCUCUAAUUUCUAGUUUCUGUUCCAUCCGCCUCUUCACUUAAAAUAUCCCUAACACAUCGGCCUCCCUCUAACACAUCGGCCUCCCUCUAACACAUCAGCUUCCCCUCUAACACAUCAGCUUCCCCUCUAACACAUCGGCCUCCCUCUAACACAUCAGCCUCCCUCUAACACAUCAGCUUCCCUCUAACACAUCAGCUUCCCCUCUAACACAUCGGCCUCCCUCUAACACAUCAGCUUCCCCUCUAACACAUCAGCUUCCCUCUAACACAUCGGCCUCCCUCUAACACAUCGGCCUCCCUCUAACACAUCAGCUUCCCCUCUAACACAUCAGCUUCCCUCUAACACAUCGGCUUCCCUCUAACACAUCGGCCUCCCUCUAACACAUCGGCCUCCCUCUAACACAUCAGCUUCCCCUCUAACACAUCAGCUUCCCUCUAACACAUCGGCCUCCCUCUAACACAUCAGCUUCCCUCUAACACAUCAGCUUCCCUCUAACAGCUUCCUGCUUAGCUGCUUUGUCUACAUCGCAUAUCCAAGAUGGCUGAAAUGGAAGUAGCGUAAGUAGCGUGACACACCUCCUAUGGCUCCAUCUGAGUUCCUGUUUAUCUCUACUUUGCUUGUUUUAUUCGCCACCUAGCUCCCCUUCCAGAAUACAAUCCCCAACCUGUUCACCAUCUCCUCAGAACCUGGGCCAGUACCUUCCUUAUAGGGUGCCCAAUAAUGACUAUCUAUCAUGGGGCAGAGGAGAUGGCUUAGUAGGUAAAAGAGCUUGCCACACAAUUCUGAUGACCUGAAUUCGGUUCCAGGGACCUACAUAAGAAAACCAGAUGCAGUGUCGAGCAUCUGGAAC